UGGGAACGUACCCUUUGGUUCGGAACAACCCAGGGAAACUUGGGCUAAUACCGGAUAAGUGCGUAAGGAGAAAGAUUUAUCGCCAAAGGAUCGGCCCGCGUCUGAUUAGCUAGUUGGUAGGGUAAUGGCUUACCAAGGCUACGAUCAGUAGCUGGUCUGAGAGGAUGAUCAGCCACAUUGGGACUGAGACACGGCCCAAACUCCUACGGGAGGCAG
rnacentral:rRNA from 1 species